AGGUUACCCAUUGAACAAUUUUUGCGAAUAUUUAUCGGAAUAUCUAGAAACAUUCUACAUCAAGAACACGUACAUAUGCAAGAGAAGGAAAAUGUAUUAGACAUAUCUUUGCAAAAUGAAAAUGACAAAUUAUGAAGAGGAAUUUUUUGUCGGACUACCUGAAACUGUUUGUUAUGAACAACAUAUAAAUAUGCAAAGAAACGAAAAUAUUCCAAAUAUAUCUUUGAUAGACAAUACUGGAAAAAAU